rnacentral:rRNA from 1 species
GAUGAACGCUGGCGGCGUGCCUAAUACAUGCAAGUCGAGCGAACGGACGAGAAGCUUGCUUCUCUGAUGUUAGCGGCGGACGGGUGAGUAACACGUGGAUAACCUACCUAUAAGACUGGGAUAACUUCGGGAAACCGGAGCUAAUACCGGAUAAUAUUUUGAACCGCAUGGUUCAAAAGUGAAAGACGGUCUUGCUGUCACUUAUAGAUGGAUCCGCGCUGCAUUAGCUAGUUGGUAAGGUAACGGCUUACCAAGGCAACGAUGCAUAGCCGACCUGAGAGGGGGAUGGCCCACACGGAAAGUGAGAACCGACCCAGCCACCUAGGGAGGGCAGAGGUGGGAAACCUACCGAAAUGGGCGAAAGCCUGCCGAAGCAACGCGGCGUGGGUGAUGAAGGCCUUCGGAUGGUAAAACUCUGUUAUUGGGGAAAAACAUAUGUGUAAGUAACUGUGCAGAUCUGGCGGUAACCAAAUCAGAAGGCCAGGGCAAACUACGG